GAAGCUGACCAGACAGUCGCCGCUUCGUCGUCGUCCUCUUCGGGGGAGACGGGCGGAGGGGAGGAAAGUCCGGGCUCCAUAGGGCAGGGUGCCAGGUAACGCCUGGGGGGGAAACCCACGACCAGUGCAACAGAGAGCAAACCGCCGAUGGCCCGCGUAAGCGGGAUCAGGUAAGGGUGAAAGGGUGCGGUAAGAGCGCACCGCGCGGCUGGUAACAGUCCGUGGCACGGUAAACUCCACCCGGAGCAAGGCCAAAUAGGGGUUCAAUGACUGUCCACGACAGAACCCGGCUUAUCGGUCAGUUUCACCU
rnacentral:RNase_P_RNA from 1 species